UGUUACUGGUAGGCUUGUGAGAAUAUUUCUUUGGAAGAUUUUGUAAGAGCUUUUGUGAGCAUGAAUGCUUCUUGUUGAGAAAGAUUUAUAUAGAAACUGGGUGUUCUCCUCUUGUACUUAUUUCUUUCUCAUAGUAAAGUUUACAUACCCCAUGAAAGUAACAUUUGGGCUGAUCUACGUACUUGAUUAUGUUCUCGUUUUAUCUCUUUUUUCUUCCUACUGCAACAUGUGAUACC
rnacentral:lncRNA from 1 species